AUGACAUCAAGCGCUCCUGGUUUUACUUCUGCUUCUUUAGACAUUUCUCCUUGUUUUUCUUUGCACCUUAACCUCUUCCACUUGGCAUAUGCUGGUCUUGGUCCUCUGCCAGAGAUGGGGUUUCACCGUGUUGGCCAAGCUCAUCUUGAACUCCUGACCUCAGGUGAUCCGCCUGCCUCAGCCUCCCAAAGUGCCAGGAUUAUAGGCAUAAGCUACCGCACCUGCUGGUCCCCUAGUCUUAGACCCUUGUGUGAUGCCAGCCAGCAGCGUCGUCUUGCCACACAGAAUCUUGCACCUCCCAGGACUGGUACCCAUGCUGGAACUGGAGGUCCACCACCUCUCAGACAUGAAGCCUGGCAGCACUGGGACUGCUGUUCUCCCCAUCUUCCCUCAGAGCCAGAAACUCAUUUUAUGUUCUCAAAUACUGGAUCAGUUAUCUAUUUCUAUUAAACAAAGCAUCCCAAAAUGGAGUGGCCUAUAAGAGCAAUGAUUAUUUAUUUUUCAUGAUUCUGUGGGUUGGCUGGGUGGGUCCUCUGCUGGUUUUUCCUGGGCUCGCCCACAAGGUCACAUUUAGAUAGAGGGUCAGCUGGGCGAGUACAUCCCCGACAGCCUCACUCUCAGCUUCUAGCUCUGGGGUGGGAACAUCUGAGUCCUUCUCCAUCCAACACAAGCUAGACAUGGUGGUUUCUUGGUUCCACCAGGGAGAGAGCAAGAACUGCAAAGCCUCUUGCCCUGAAGCCAGCACUCUGUCCCUUCUGCCACCUUCUGUUGGUAAAAGCAAAUUGCACGGCCAGCCCAGAUUCAUGGGAUGGAGAAAUAGACUCCAUAUCUCAAAACAGAGAGCUCGCUGCCACUUGUCAGAGGAGUCUAGACACAAGGAGAUGUGAUUCCUCAUGGCUGACAGUCUCCACAGAUACCAAGAGCAGAUCCCACCCUCUCUAGCAAAAAAUGAGGCUUCAUUGCCUUGACCGAGUCCUGACCCUCAAAGCUCACUUGAAGUUAGCUGCUGAGUCACAGGGUCAGGAUCACUCACUGGAAGAUUAAAUGCAUACUUUCACUGUCUUUGCUUCAUCCAGAAAUGUGAUGACUCAUUCUUGGAGCAUGAAGGUUUGUUGUGGGAAGUGUGCAGAAGUGUUUUUCUUUACUUCCAGAAUGACAAGCCAGGGGGAAAAAUGGAACAAAUUCCAAAAAAAAAAAAAAAAAAAAGAAAAGAUAAUUUAUCUGGAAAUUAGUGUUAAAUUCAAAACAAGCUGCCUUUGGAAAGUCUGAGACCUACCUUUCUGGUAGUCUUUAAAUGUAACACAGCAGUCCAGGCACAGUGGCUCACAUCUGUGAUCCCAGCACUUUGGGAGGCCGAGGCGGGCAGAUCACCGGAGGUUGGGAGUUUGAGACCAGCCUGGCCAACAUGGUGAAACUCCAUCUCUACUAAAAAUGCAAAAAUUAGCCAGAUGUGGUGGCAGGCACCUGUAAUCCCAGCUACUCGGGCAGCUGAGGCAGGAGAAUUGCUUGAACCCGAGAGACGGAGGUUGCAGUGAGCCAAGAUUAUGCCUUUGUACUCCAGCCUGGGAGACAACAGCAAGACUUCAUCUCAAAAAAAAAAAAAAAAAAAAAAAGUUAGACAGCUAACCAUCAGUCUCUACAGAGAAUUUGGAGCAUGGAUCCUUAGCAGGGCCAGUCGGCUGGUUAAAGACCCAAACACUGGAAGCAACCCAAGUGUCUAUCAGUGCAUGAAGGGAUAAGCAACAUGUGAUCUAUCCAUGCAAUGCAACAUUGUUCAGCCUUAAAAGAAGAGAACUCUGACACACGCUACAACACAGAUGAACCUUGAAGACAUCAUGCUGAGUGCAGUAAGACAGUCACGAAAGGACAAAUACUGUAUGAUUUUACUCAUAUGAGGUACUCAGACAAAAUCAUAGAGGCAGAAAGUAGACUGAUGGGUUCCAGGGGCUAGAGGAAGGGGACUGGGGAGUUGGUGAUUAAUGGGAAUGGAGUUUCCAUUUUACAAGAUGAAAAGAGUCUGGAGAGCAAUGGUGGUGAUGGUUGCACAACAAUGUGAAUAUUCUUCUUUUUUAUUUUUUGGCUGUGGGGGGCAGAGUCUCACUCUGUCGCCCAGGCUGGAGUGCAGUGGCAUGAUCUCAGCUCACUGCAAGCUCCGCCUCCUGGGUUCACACCAUUCUCCUGCCUCAGCCUUCUGAAUAGCUGGGACUACAGGAGCCCACCACCACGCCUGGCUAGUUUUUUGUAUUUUUUUUAGUUGAUACAGGGUUUCACCAUGUUAGCCAGGAUGGACUGCAUCUCCUGACCUCGUGAUCCGCCCGCCUCAGCCUACAAUGUGAAUAUUCUUAAUACUGCUGAGUUGUUCUUUUAAAAAUGGUUAAGAUGCUUUGAAGAUCCUUAGAACCCGAUGUCUCAACUCACCUGUACUGUUUUACCCCAAGGGUUCAGGGAUAGCCCCCAUCUGUUU
rnacentral:lncRNA from 1 species